GGUUAAGCGACUAAGCGUACACGGUGGAUGCCCUGGCAGUCAGAGGCGAUGAAGGGCGUGCUAAUCUGCGAUAAGCGCCGGUAAGGUGAUAUGAACCGUUAUAACCGGCGAUACCCGAAUGGGGAAACCCAGUGUGACUCGUCACACUAUCAUUAACUGAAUCCAUAGGUUAAUGAGGCGAACCGGGGGAACUGAAACAUCUAAGUACCCCGAGGAAAAGAAAUCAACCGAGAUUCCCCCAGUAGCGGCGAGCGAACGGGGAGGAGCCCAGAGCCUGAAUCAGCAUGUGUGUUAGUGGAAGCGUCUGGAAAGGCGCGCGAUACAGGGUGACAGCCCCGUACACAAAAGCGCAUGUGCUGUGAGCUCGAUGAGUAGGGCGGGACACGUGGUAUCCUGUCUGAAUAUGGGGGGACCAUCCUCCAAGGCUAAAUACUCCUGACUGACCGAUAGUGAACCAGUACCGUGAGGGAAAGGCGAAAAGAACCCCGGCGAGGGGAGUGAAAAAGAACCUGAAACCGUGUACGUACAAGCAGUGGGAGCCCCACCACCAAAGCAUUCUCUGGUGUUGAAGGCCCUGCAAAGCAGCAUCGCGGUGGCGGAGCGUCGUUUGCGACGCCCAACACACAAAACAAGCGGUGAGUGCUUUGGGUGGGGUGACUGCGUACCUUUUGUAUAAUGGGUCAGCGACUUAUAUUCUGUAGCAAGGUUAACCGAAUAGGGGAGCCGGAGGGAAACCGAGUCUUAAUUGGGCGUUAAGUUGCAGGGUAUAGACCCGAAACCCGGUGAUCUAGCCAUGGGCAGGUUGAAGGUUGGGUAA
rnacentral:rRNA from 1 species